UCUCUCUCUCUCUCUCUCUCUCUCCCUGUCUCUCUGUGCGCACAGAUGUCUAAUCAGAUUUUGCGUUAACGUGUUUGAAUCUCUGCGUACGCGCAUAUACUCAUACAGGGGAGGGAGAGAUAUACAUAGAAACACAGAGAGAAUGUCGAAGAAGAAAGCUUUCAGUGGCAAUACUAUGACUCUCAAGGACUUUCAUGGCGGUUCUAUCCCAACUGAUCUCCCUCUUCCUUCUGCUCCUGGUGUAAUUGUUAGGUCUUCGGAGUGCUCUGGUUACGACCGUCCAAAUUCAUGGGGAGGGUCAAUGGGUCGUCCCGAUCACCGUGCCAGGCCUAAUUCGUCCCCUGCCACUAGGCAUUUCGAUGAUAAAACCCCUUUUCUCAGUCAUACAACACAGAUAGGCCGUCAUUUCGAUGAGGACGAACGCAAGCCUUUAGAUGGUGUUUCGGCUCCACGCCGGACAGUGGGUGAUGAGAGCUUUCGUGUUCCACCCAGUAAGAUAGAGCUCAAGCCGGAGCCUGUGUUGAGUGGGAGGGUGUCAGUUUCAGCUUCAGCUUCAGGGGUGCAGUUUGCAAGUUCGUACUCAGGGAGGGUUAGCGAUGGGGCUUAUGUGGGGGCGAGUCUGCAGAAUGUAGGGGGUAAUACUGGGCACAGCGUUGGAGGGUCACACCCAAAUGUAUGGGCAGCCAAGAAGGAGGUGGUGGUGGGUGUUAAUGAGCCAGUGCAAUCCGCGUGGUCAGGUGCAAGUGCUGUCUCAAAGUUAGCCCUUGCAAGUGCUCUUGAAAAGGUGUCUUCAG
rnacentral:misc_RNA from 1 species